CGUCCCUGCAGCCAGCAAAGGAGCGGGCCGCCUCCUGGUUGCCACGUGCGGCAACGGAUGGGGAGCCGGAGGGAGUGAAGACCCCAGGGAAAGGGCCGCUGGGGGAACUGCCGCCCGGGAGGACCCACGUGGAGCAGUGUUCUCUUGGAGGGCUGGAUAAAAAGAGCUGGGAAUGUGAGACUACGACAACCUUUCCCUUGUGUAAUGUCAAUGUCGGCUAUCACUUUGGCAGAAUCAGCCAGCUCAGUGAAGACACGAAAACCUUCCUUCCCUCCUGUUUUUUCAUCUGCUGGUGGCAUUCAAAGUGACCUUCCCUUGUAAAUAUUGGAACUACAUUUCUCCAUGAUUAGACCUUUUAACUGUUCUGUUUGGACAGCAUCUCUGUGGAGCCAUUGUGCCAAGCAAGUCCUGGUAUGAAAUUCAAAUUCAGUAUAUUUCUGAAAAGCAUAUUUCAUGUAAAAUUUAUCUAAGUUCCUCAUG
rnacentral:lncRNA from 1 species